ensembl:lncRNA
UCCUAAUGAACAGGGCUCAUAUGGUCUCACAAAGACUGAAGAAAAAGCGCAGGGGCUCCAUGAGUCCGUCUGUAUCAGGAUUUCCCAGUCAAGGGUAUUUCCAUCGUACCACUGUAGGAUGCGUCCUCCUACACCAAUCAUUAAUCAAGAAAAAUACACCACAGACUUCCUAUGGGCCAAUCUGAUGGAGGCAUUUUUCUCAAUUGACGUUCCCUGUCUUCUCAGAUAACUAGGUUCCUUGAACCUAAGGUGGAGAGGUUGCCUUACAGAUAUAUCAGCUUACAUAAAACCUUGUAUACUAUGACAACCAAUUCUGAGAGAGGAGGUUUCCAAGUCAGUUCCAGCUCUAUUCCAUGAAGUCCUAUGCCCAACCUGUAUGGCAUUUUCAUCAAUAGGGACUUACUUUUGCAUUCUGGGAAGCAACUGAAAGCAAUGGAACCAGGAUGUAUCGACGGAUAGAUUGAUAAACUGUGCAGUAACGGGUUGGAUCAACCUUAUUUAUACUCAUUACUUCCAAGAUUCAUUUAUUCCAUCUAAUAGGGCCCAUAAAACAAGUAAUCUUCAUUGGUCAGUACAAUGACUAUAUGCUGAAAAUAAGCGUUGAAUAUUUUAAAGUGUCACUGAGUCCCAGAAUUGCUUGGUCAAAGGUGAUUUUUAUUGCUUUAUCAGAUCAGCAGAUUCCAGAGAAGACUGCAAGUGAAAACCAUUAGCAACUAGCCAGCAUGCACUGGAGCCAGAGACUAUGGCAUUAACCUACUAAGGGGAACUUGGCAGAGCGCCAACAGAGCAGGCUACAGGAAGAUCAACAAAAAUUGAAAAUUGAGCUGAUUCAUAUUUCAGACCACCCAAAAUACUGAGGGUUUCUAGGAAUUGAAAUACUAGGAACAACAAAAAGAAAUCAUCAAGUGCUUAGAUUUUCAGACUGCAAAAGAAAUGCAGUUACAUUAAAAGGGAUACUUUGGAAAAUACGUAUGCUAAGAAUAAGUUAGCCUCAGAAAAUAGAAACGUAUGUCAUAGUUAAUACACAAAAUUCAAUGGAGCAAUUAGAAGAUGAACCAAGAAAAUUUCUCAAAACUGCAAUAAAAAAUUUUAGAAAAUAGGCUGAAUGGAAGUAUGAAAGUUCAGGAUAUUUCACUAUUUGACAGAUUUUUUUCAAAAAACACAUAUCAAAAUAAAUGUAAAAAGAAAAAUAUUUGAGACAAGAAGGGGGAAAGGGGAAAAUGAUCAGGUAUUGGAAGGGGACAGGAUUGAAAGAAUGAGGGCCAGCAGAAAGAACGGAAACAGCCAUCCUCGGGAGGUAGGAGGUGGGGGGACCCUCUAGAACGUACCAGAGACCUGGGAGUUAAGAGACUCUAAGGACUCAAAGGACAUUAGAUGAGAUGCCCUACAGUGGGGAAAGGGAACUUGUAGAGUCCACCUCUAGUAGAAAGACAGGGCAACA